UGGGGAAUAUUGCACAAUGGGCGAAAGCCUGAUGCAGCAACGCCGCGUGAAGGAAGAAGGCCUUCGGGUCGUAAACUCCUGUCCUUGGGGAAGAAGAACUGACGGUACCCAAGGAGGAAGCCCCGGCUAACUACGUGCCAGCAGCCGCGGUAAUACGUAGGGGGCAAGCGUUAUCCGGAAUUAUUGGGCGUAAAGAGUACGUAGGUGGCAACCUAAGCGCAGGGUUUAAGGCAAUGGCUUAACCAUUGUUCGCCCUGCGAACUGGGAUGCUUGAGUGCAGGAGAGGAGAGCGGAAUUCCUAGUGUAGCGGUGAAAUGCGUAGAUAUUAGGAGGAACACCAGUGGCGAAGGCGGCUUUCUGGACUGUAACUGACACUGAGGUACGAAAGCGUGGGGAGCAAACAGGAUUAGAUACC
rnacentral:rRNA from 1 species